AAUUUUAUAGUUUAAGGUAAAAAUAUUAAAUUGCAAAUUUAAAGAUAUUUGAUGAAAGUUAAAAUUU
rnacentral:tRNA from 1 species